CAUGCCCCUUAUGUCCAGGGCUUCACACAUGCUACAAUGGUCGGUACAACGCGCAGAGCACUGUGAGGUGGAGCGAAUCGCUGAAAGCCGGCCUUAGUUCGGAUUGGGGUCUGCAACUCGACCCCAUGAAGUCGGAGUCGCUAGUAAUCGCAGAUCAGCAACGCUGCGGUGAAUACGUUCCC
rnacentral:rRNA from 1 species